AUUAAUUAAAGAACUUUUUCUGAUUUUCAGUUGGUAAACUAGUUGGAUGUUUCUGUGCUAUAACUGGGGUGUUAUUUAUAGCCUUACCUGUUCCGGUGAUUGUCUCGAAU